rnacentral:rRNA from 1 species
GGAGGGAUCAUUACCGAGUUAUACAACUCCCAAACCCACUGUGAACCUUACCUCAGUUGCCUCGGCGGGAACGCCCCGGCCGCCUGCCCCCGCGCCGGCGCCGGACCCAGGCGCCCGCCGCAGGGACCCCAAACUCUCUUGCAUUACGCCCAGCGGGCGGAAUUUCUUCUCUGAGUUGCACAAGCAAAAACAAAUGAAUCAAAACUUUCAACAACGGAUCUCUUGGUUCUGGCAUCGAUGAAGAACGCAGCGAAAUGCGAUAAGUAAUGUGAAUUGCAGAAUUCAGUGAAUCAUCGAAUCUUUGAACGCACAUUGCGCCCGCCAGCAUUCUGGCGGGCAUGCCUGUUCGAGCGUCAUUUCAACCCUCGAGCCCCCCCGGGGGCCUCGGUGUUGGGGGACGGCACACCAGCCGCCCCCGAAAUGCAGUGGCGACCCCGCCGCAGCCUCCCCUGCGUAGUAGCACACACCUCGCACCGGAGCGCGGAGGCGGUCACGCCGUAAAACGCCCAACUUUCUUAGAGUUGACCUCGGAUCAGGUAGGAAUACCCGCUGAACUUAAGCAUAUCAAUAAGCGGAGGA